CCUACGUGGGGCAGCAGUGGGGAAUAUUGCGCAAUGGGCGAAAGCCUGACGCAGCGACGCCGCGUGAGGGAUGAAGGUCUUCGGAUCGUAAACCUCUGUCAGCAGGGAAGAACGGUCACUGUGCUAAUCAGCAGUGAAUUGACGGUACCUGCAAAGGAAGCACCGGCUAACUCCGUGCCAGCAGCCGCGGUAAUACGGAGGGUGCGAGCGUUAAUCGGAAUUACUGGGCGUAAAGCGCUCGUAGGCGGUAUGUCAAGUCAAGGGUGAAAUCCCCGCGCUCAACGUGGGAACUGCCUUUGAAACUGGCAAACUGGAGUGUGGGAGAGGAUAGUGGAAUUCCAGGUGUAGGAGUGAAAUCCGUAGAUAUCUGGAGGAACAUCAGUGGCGAAGGCGACUAUCUGGCACAUAACUGACGCUGAGGAGCGAAAGCGUGGGUAGCAAACAGGAUUAGAUACCCCAGUAGUC
rnacentral:rRNA from 1 species